CAUCUCUUAUGCAGGUUAUCUUUCAACGUACUCAUUGGUUCCGUUCCUGGACGUUACUGCAACGGGAAGUGGACAGACCUAUGGUUAUGGCUGCCUGUACUCAAGUGGAGCGAGCUCUCAAGAAGGUUUUUAUCCACAAUUGGUGGCAGCGUAAUCUGCGGCUGCAACCUCCUUAAUGUUUUUCUUGUUGGUUGGAUUAAGUUUUUAUUUUUUCUUUUCGUACGGAUUUGUUGGACUGUGUGCAUCUUGUUAUGCAGAGACCGGUGCGAAUUUGUUUGAUGUAUCUCCUUGAUGUGACUUUUAAAUUCAAUAAAAGCUUCCUUUAUCGAAAAAUAUGUUUACAACAUCAACGUCGAUUUUUCUCCUUUCCAAACCACCUUCACCCUCUGCACAUAUGUUGUUUUUCAUACGUGUAUGACCAGGAUGGAAUCUGUUUUGCUUUUUUCAGUUUCGAAAAAAGAAACUUAUAUCAAAGUGAGAGGCUGUGAUACAGUAGCACUGCUAGGCUGUACUUGGAAAGCGAAAAGCAGAAGCAAUAGAUGUUCCGGCUUUUCAUUUGACCGGCCGAGAGCCAUGAUUGACCGUGUCUACUGUCUUCAUUGUUGCAAAUAUAAACAAAGUUAAAGCUCUUUGCUUAACUAUGAAUGUACAAUUAGUACUAAUACUAUACUGGUCGCCGUUUA
rnacentral:lncRNA from 1 species